AGAGUUUGAUCCUGGCUCAGGAUGAACGCUAGCUACAGGCUUAACACAUGCAAGUCGAGGGGCAGCAUGGUCUUAGCUUGCUAAGGCCGAUGGCGACCGGCGCACGGGUGAGUAACACGUAUCCAACCUGCCGUCUACUCUUGGACAGCCUUCUGAAAGGAAGAUUAAUACAAGAUGGCAUCAUGAGUCCGCAUGUUCACAUGAUUAAAGGUAUUCCGGUAGACGAUGGGGAUGCGUUCCAUUAGAUAGUAGGCGGGGUAACGGCCCACCUAGUCUUCGAUGGAUAGGGGUUCUGAGAGGAAGGUCCCCCACAUUGGAACUGAGACACGGUCCAAACUCCUACGGGAGGCAGCAGUGAGGAAUAUUGGUCAAUGGACGAGAGUCUGAACCAGCCAAGUAGCGUGAAGGAUGACUGCCCUAUGGGUUGUAAACUUCUUUUAUAAAGGAAUAAAGUCGGGUAUGGAUACCCGUUUGCAUGUACUUUAUGAAUAAGGAUCGGCUAACUCCGUGCCAGCAGCCGCGGUAAUACGGAGGAUCCGAGCGUUAUCCGGAUUUAUUGGGUUUAAAGGGAGCGUAGAUGGAUGUUUAAGUCAGUUGUGAAAGUUUGCGGCUCAACCGUAAAAUUGCAGUUGAUACUGGAUAUCUUGAGUGCAGUUGAGGCAGGCGGAAUUCGUGGUGUAGCGGUGAAAUGCUUAGAUAUCACGAAGAACUCCGAUUGCGAAGGCAGCUUACUGGAUUGUAACUGACGCUGAUGCUCGAAAGUGUGGGUAUCAAACAGGAUUAGAUACCCUGGUAGUCCACACAGUAAACGAUGAAUACUCGCUGUUUGCGAUAUACAGUAAGCGGCCAAGCGAAAGCGUUAAGUAUUCCACCUGGGGAGUACGCCGGCAACGGUGAAACUCAAAGGAAUUGACGGGGGCCCGCACAAGCGGAGGAACAUGUGGUUUAAUUCGAUGAUACGCGAGGAACCUUACCCGGGCUUAAAUUGCAGAUGAAUUACGGUGAAAGCCGUAAGCCGCAAGGCAUCUGUGAAGGUGCUGCAUGGUUGUCGUCAGCUCGUGCCGUGAGGUGUCGGCUUAAGUGCCAUAACGAGCGCAACCCUUGUUGUCAGUUACUAACAGGUUCCGCUGAGGACUCUGACAAGACUGCCAUCGUAAGAUGUGAGGAAGGUGGGGAUGACGUCAAAUCAGCACGGCCCUUACGUCCGGGGCUACACACGUGUUACAAUGGGGGGUACAGAAGGCAGCUACACGGCGACGUGAUGCUAAUCCCUAAAGCCUCUCUCAGUUCGGAUUGGAGUCUGCAACCCGACUCCAUGAAGCUGGAUUCGCUAGUAAUCGCGCAUCAGCCACGGCGCGGUGAAUACGUUCCCGGGCCUUGUACACACCGCCCGUCAAGCCAUGGGAGCCGGGGGUACCUGAAGUGCGUAACCGCAAGGAGCGCCCUAGGGUAAAACUGGUGACUGGGGCUAAGUCGUAACAAGGUAGCCGUACCGGAAGGUGCGGCUG
rnacentral:rRNA from 1 species